GACCACCAGCAUUUACGGCAACGUAUAUGGCUAGGUAAACCCCACUUGGAGCAAGACCAGACAGAUAGCGUUUGAGAACUGCUCGUUCGAGCUAUCGGGUAGGUCGCUUGAUUACGUAAGCAAUUACGUAACUAGAUGGAUGGUGAUCCGUUCGCAAGAACGACAGGAUCCGGCUUAUAGGGCGACUCUUCUU
rnacentral:RNase_P_RNA from 1 species